rnacentral:rRNA from 1 species
AAACCAACCGGGAUUGCCUCAGUAACGGCGAGUGAAGCGGCAAAAGCUCAAAUUUGAAAUCUGGCACUUUCAGUGUCCGAGUUGUAAUUUGUAUAAGUAGUUUUGGGACUGGUCCUUAUCUAUGUUUCUUGGAACAGGACGUCAUAGAGGGUGAGAACCCCGUAUGAUGAGGCCCCCAGUCCUUUGUAAAACGCUUUCGAAGAGUCGAGUUGUUUGGGAAUGCAGCUCUAAGUGGGUGGUAAAUUCCAUCUAAAGCUAAAUAUUGGCGAGAGACCGAUAGCGAACAAGUACAGUGAUGGAAAGAUGAAAAGAACUUUGAAAAGAGAGUGAAAAAGUACGUGAAAUUGUUGAAAGGGAAGGGCAUUUGAUCAGACAUUGGUGUUUUGCGCCCUUUGCUCCUUGUGGGCGGAGGAUACGCAGCUCACUGGGCCAACAUCAGUUUUGGGAGCAGGAUAAAUCUGUAGGAACGUAGCUUUCUUCGGGAAGUGUUAUAGCCUAUGGGAAUACUGCUACCUGGGA